rnacentral:rRNA from 1 species
UAAUACGUAGGGGGCAAGCGUUAUCCGGAUUUACUGGGUGUAAAGGGGGCGCAGACGGCAGCGCAAGCCAGGAGUGAAAGCCCGGGGCCCAACCCCGGGACUGCUCUUGGAAACUGUAUGGCUGGAGUGCAGGAGAGGUAAGUGGAAUUCCUAGUGUAGCGGUGAAAUGCGUAGAUAUUAGGAGGAACACCAGUGGCGAAGGCGGCUUACUGGACUGUAACUGACGUUGAGGCUCGAAAGCGUGGGGAGCAAACAG